GGAGGGACCAAGUAUCCGGAAAAUGCUCUGGGGCCCAGAGGAUGGAGCAGGAAGAGGAGUCUCACUUUAAAGCUGGGCUUUAAAGGAUGAAUAAGAGUUUUCCAAACCAUGUGGGGAAGGAGAGGACAGCUCCAGGUGCUCCUUCUGGAACAGUCGCUCUUGGGGAAGCCAGCUGCCACGUCCUAAGGACACAUAGCCAUGGCAAGGAACUGAGGUCACCAGCCAGCAGCCAGUGAGGAAAGGAGGCUUCCUCCCUGUCAUGGAAGCAGGUCAGCCCCCAGCCCGCCUUUCAGAUGGUGACAGCCUCACGGAACAGUGUGACAACAACCUCAUGAGAGACUCAGGCAGAAACACCCAGGCCUGGGAUGUGCUCAGAUCAGUGCCUCAGCAAAUUAAUUGGGAAAGGAGUACAUCAAGGCUGUACAUUGUUACCCUGCUUACUUAACUUAUAUGCAGAGUAUAUCAUGCAAAAUACCAGGCUGGAUAAAGCACAGGCUGAAGUCAA